rnacentral:rRNA from 1 species
CCCUUAGAUGUUCUGGGCCGCACGCGCGCUACACUGACGAAUGCAACGAGCUUAUAACCUUGGCCGAAAGGUCUGGGUAAUCUCCAAAUUUCGUCGUGAUGGGGAUAGAUUAUUGCAAUUAUUAAUCUUCAACGAGGAAUGCCUAGUAAGCGCAAGUCAUCAGCUUGCGUUGAUUACGUCCCUGCCCUUUGUACACACCGCCCGUCGCUCCUACCGAUUGAAUGGUCCGGAGAAGCGUUCGGACCGUGGCCUUUGGACGGUUCGCCGUCUGUUGGCUGCGGGAAGUUCGUUAAACCUUAUCAUUUAGAGGAAGGAGAAGUCGUAACA